AGGCUCGUGGUGGAAGUGGUUAACGCGUUGCUCUGAUAAAGCAAAGAUUCCCAGUUCGAUUCUGGGCGAGCCUA
rnacentral:tRNA from 1 species